GACGAACGCUGGCGGCGUGCCUAAUACAUGCAAGUCGAACGCUUCUUUCCUCCCGAGUGCUUGCACUCAAUUGGAAAGAGGAGUGGCGGACGGGUGAGUAACACGUGGGUAACCUACCCAUCAGAGGGGGAUAACACUUGGAAACAGGUGCUAAUACCGCAUAACAGUUUAUGCCGCAUGGCAUAAGAGUGAAAGGCGCUUUCGGGUGUCGCUGAUGGAUGGACCCGCGGUGCAUUAGCUAGUUGGGGAGGUAACGGCUCACCAAGGCCACGAUGCAUAGCCGAGCUGGGAGGGUGAUCGGCCACACUGGGACUGAGACACGGCCCAGAGUCCUACGGGAGGCAGCAGUAGGGAAUCUUCGGCAAUGGACGGAAGUCUGACCGAGCAACGCCGCGUGAGUGAGGAAGGUUUUCGGAUCGUAAAACUCUGUUGUUAGAGAAGAACAAGGACGUUAGUAACUGAACGUCCCCUGACGGUAUCUAACCAGAAAGCCACGGCUAACUACGUGCCAGCAGCCGCCGUAA
rnacentral:rRNA from 1 species